UGGGGAAUUUUGGACAAUGGGCGCAAGCCUGAUCCAGCCAUGCCGCGUGCGGGAAGAAGGCCUUCGGGUUGUAAACCGCUUUUGUCAGGGAAGAAAUCUUCUGAGUUAAUACCUCGGGAGGAUGACGGUACCUGAAGAAUAAGCACCGGCUAACUACGUGCCAGCAGCCGCGGUAAUACGUAGGGUGCAAGCGUUAAUCGGAAUUACUGGGCGUAAAGCGUGCGCAGGCGGUUUUGUAAGACAGAGGUGAAAUCCCCGGGCUCAACCUGGGAACUGCCUUUGUGACUGCAAGGCUUGAGUGCGGCAGAGGGGGGAUGGAAUUCCGCGUGUAGCAGUGAAAUGCGUAGAUAUGCGGAGGAACACCGAUAGCGAAGGCAAUCCCCUGGGCCUGCACUGACGCUCAUGCACGAAAGCGUGGGGAGCAAACAGGAUUAGAUACCCUGGUAGUCCACGCCCUAAAACGAUGUCAACUGGUUGUUGGGAAGGUUCCUUCUCAGUAACGUAGCUAACGCGUGAAGUUGACCGCCUGAGGAGUACGGCCGCAAGGUUGAAA
rnacentral:rRNA from 1 species